rnacentral:misc_RNA from 1 species
UAGAAUCAUUGAGCUACCAGCCAUAGUUUGGUACAGAAGCAAAAGUCAACUAUCUCAGUCACUUUGUUAUAGACAACCUGACGGUUAAUUACAUAUUUUUGCCAGAAAUCUACACUACCGGCCGCUGCUGAUUAACAGGUUCUACCACACCGGAUUCUUCUCUGCUGCCUGAUUACUACGCAAUACUAUUACAUCUUAAAAUAAUCGUGAUUUGAGGUGAUUCCGAUUGAUCAACCGCCUAAUAAUAAAACAAACACAAAAAUUACAAAUAGUGAGAGUAACAAAACCACUUACGUGUUCACAUCCUAGUUAACUCAUCGUUUUCUGGGAUAAAGAUUGAGAUUAUCAGAUUAUUAUCGUUCAGCAAACAGGUUAUAAAGAUAAAAAGCCAAGAUGUUUGCCAUUAUGCAGAUUGACAACGACGUCAGUGGAGGUCAGUUCAGGAGAAAGAUGAGGUCCAAGUGCGAGUUCGUCUGCAAGUAUUGCCAAAGGAGGUUUACGAAGCCGUACAACCUCAUGAUUCACGAGAGGACGCACAAGAGUCCAGAGGUAACUUUCAGUUGCGAAAUUUGCGGGAAGAGUUUUAAACGGCAGGACAACCUCAAACAACACAGAUGUAAUCAGUGCUAUUGGAGGUAAAGGGCUCCUAUGGUUGAAAAAGGGCUAACCCAGUCCUUCUUAAUUUUAAAAGUGAGCAUACACUACCCAGCCAAUACAACAUGUAGUUGUUUCAGUAGCAGAUACUAGUAUUAAGUCGCCUUUAAAAUUUCUUCACACACAGUAUUUAUUGCGUUUUUAAUGUUUUGUAAAUAUAUCUUUAGAAUUAAUAAUAUUUAUUAUACAAUGUAUUAUUAAACUUAUUAGUUAGUAAGUCAAGACUACCGCUGUCUAGUCUAAAUCUAUUUUAUUUUAUGUAUUAAAACAACUUUAACAAAUGAUUGUAUGGAAUACAAUUUGUGAUCAUGUUAAGAGUGAGAUAAUUCAUAUACAUAAUUAUUAUUUCUAAACGUGAGUUGCGCGUCCAUUAAAAUUUAGUUUUGGUUGUAGAUUAAGUAUCCUACAAGUGCCAUCAAACGUCAUCGAUUAGUAUUAUAACUUACAGCGUUGCCAGAUUAUUCAAAAGUAUCAAUAGUCAUGAAAUCGUCAGAUUUUAAAUGCAAAUUAUUAUUUUGUUAAAUCAUAUAUGAAAAAAAA